rnacentral:rRNA from 1 species
AUGAAUAUUAAGAUAAAAAUAAUAAUUUGCAGUCCUAGUUUUUCAACUAGUUGGUCAACAAGCCCACUGUUUCAAUCAUUACAUCUUAUUUGCAGCAAUGGCGACUACGUUCAACUAUUUGGCAAACCUGCCAUGAAUGACAGAUUCCUUCAGAUUAAAGCUUUCAAGAUCAGGUUAAUCGAAAACUACAAUGACACCACGCACCACUACUUGUAUACCAUACACACCACAUUAGACAUUCGUAAGAGAAACACCCACAAGGCAAGAAUGGAACCUGACUCCACAGCAUCAACUGUUUUCCCAAAGGGGCCGUCAAUUACCCCGUCGGAGGUGCCCUUAGAUUCGUCAACAAAGGACAAGAUAUUUGCCAUCCUGCGAGACCCAGCUUACCGUGAUAUUCAGCAUGGCGUUAGCUUGAAGUUAAUCCGUAGUGCAUUGGACAUCAGCCAGGACGAGAUAAUGCAAGUCAUUACGGAGCAAAUCUACAUUGGGAUGAUAUACACAACUAUUGAUGACAACCACUUCAAGACCUCCAUCUGA